rnacentral:rRNA from 1 species
GUGAACGCUGGCGGUAGGCCUAACCCCUGCAAGUCGAACGGCAGCACAGUAAGAGCUUGCUCUUACGGGUGGCGAGUGGCGGACGGGUGAGGAAUACAUCUGAAUCUACUUUUUCGUGGGGGAUAACGUAGGGAAACUUACGCUAAUACCGCAUACGACCUACGGGUGAAAGCAGGGGAUCUUCGGACCUUGCGCGAUUGAAUGAGCCGAUGUCGGAUUAGCUAGUUGGCGGGGUAAAGGCCCACCAAGGCGACGAUCCGUAGCUGGUCUGAGAGGAUGAUCAGCCACACUGGAACUGAGACACGGUCCAGACUCCUACGGGAGGCAGCAGUGGGGAAUAUUGGACAAUGGGCGCAAGCCUGAUCCAGCCAUACCGCGUGGGUGAAGAAGGCCUUCGGGUUGUAAAGCCCUUUUGUUGGGAAAGAAAAGCAGCAGGUUAAUACCCCGCUGUUCUGACGGUACCCAAAGAAUAAGCACCGGCUAACUUCGUG